rnacentral:rRNA from 1 species
AUACGGAGGAUACAAGCGUUAUCCGGAUUUAUUGGGUUUAAAGGGUGCGCAGGCGGACUAAUAAGUCAGAGGUGAAAUUUUUGCAGCUUAACUGUAAACGUGCCUUUGAUACUGUUAGACUAGAGUUUAAGGGACGUAACCGGAAUGUGAUGUGUAGCGGUGAGAUGCAUAGAUAUGUCACAGAACGCCGAUCGUGAAGACAGGUUACGAACUUAAUACUGACGCUCAGGCACGAAAGCGUGGGGAUC